rnacentral:misc_RNA from 1 species
AAGUUGAUCAUGUGACUGGACAAAAUGGCCCCUUACGUGUUCAGAAUGCUUUGGAUUACAGUUCUAACUUUAUUAAUUCCUGCAGUUUCAACAAAGAACAGAAAACCAAACAUUGUGUUUCUGUUGACUGAUGACCAAGAUGUUAAGCUUGGGGGACAGACACCAAUGACCAAAACAAAGAAUCUUGUUGGUGACAAAGGGAUAAUCUUCGAAAAUAUGUACGUUAGUGCGCCCCUUUGCUGUCCCAGUCGGUCAAGCAUCUUGACCGGGAAAUAUGUCCACAGUAAUGGCGCCGUGAACAAUUCUCUGACGGGAAACUGUAGCAGUCCGUAUUGGCAACGGACACAGGAAGUCAAGGCAUUCCCCACCUACCUCAAAGGCCAGGGAUACUCCACCUUCUUUGCCGGGAAAUAUCUAAACCAGUAUGGGACACCGAUGGCGGGAGGGGUGGAGCACGUACCCCCGGGCUGGGAUUGGUGGAUCGGUCUGGUUGGGAACUCUAAAUACUACAACUAUCACCUGUCUGUGAACGGUACCCUGGAGGUCCAUAAGGAUGACCCCAAGACCGACUACCUCACCGACAUCAUAAAUAGACGGGCCACAUCAUUUCUGAGUCUACAGAACUCGGACUCCGCCCCUUUCUUCAUGAUGUUGUCCACCCCUGCUUGUCACGGUCCGUUCACCCCCGCCCCCAAAUACCAGAACAACUUCCCCAACAAGACAGCCCCACGGGACGGGAGUUAUAAUAAACACGGACAAGCACUGGUUAAUACAACAAGCAAUAACACCGCUACCCAACGACACGGUCAAGUCGGAAGACCAAGUGUUUAGAAACAGGUAGGGACGUCUUUUGAUGACAUGAAUUUAAAAAAAAAUCAUAUAUUUGCAUUGGAACAAAGUACAUACAUGUAGCAUUUUAUGUAUGACCGAAGUGUGAAGUCAAACUAAAUUUUCAGAUGUGUUGGGUAGUGUUAAGGUAUGUUGUUAUACGAAUACGUCCAUCGGGAAAAUCGACAUAUAUAUAACACUAUCAAACAAAACGCCAUCACACUGUCACAUAAAACAAUAUAGUGCUGUUUCACAGCAUACAUAAUACAUGUAUGUAACGUGCGCAUCAAUUGUUGCGUUGUUGUGGCAUGAAAUCCCUCCAUCCAGUCGGCCCACUUUUCCCAAUGUUUUGUUGCAUUUUUUUUUUUCAAAUUACCCCAUCCGUUGGACUUUAAAAGCUGUGUGUAUUUGGACGCUCUGAAAUGGUCUUAAUUAUUUAAUGCUUGUGUUAAUAACUAUUAAAGGUGGAGAACGCUGCUCUCUGUUGACGAUAUAAUGGAGAACAUCGUCAAUAUUCUCCAAACGAAAAACCUCUUGGAAAACACAUACAUCGUAUUUUCUUCCGACAAUGGGUUCCAUUUAGGUGAGCAUUAACUGUUGUCUGCAUGAGGCUCCUUCGUUGCGUUGAAAUACGUGACAUUUGACAGCGAUAUCUCUCUACACAGGCCAGUUUUCUAUGCCCUCCGACAAGCGUCAGCUAUACGAGUUCGACGUCCGUGUGCCGCUAAUGAUCCGAGGACCAAACGUCACAGCCGGUCAGGUGGUGAAGGUAUUACUGUACUGCCGGUUCAUUCUUAACUCAACUAUGACCAAUCCCCAUGUAGUCAAUGAAGCCUAUGUCAACUUCCAUUUUAGGGGUUUUAAGUUCGGUUUAAUUUUUUAAGUUGAUUGAUUUUUUUUCUAUCACGUAUGAAAGGACUGUGUUACGUGUACAUGAAUGUUGAAAAAAUUAUCUAUUAUCAUUUCUCAAAAUUUUUAAAGCUAAAGAUCACUAAAAGAACUUGAAAGGAAGAGAGCUUUGUUCAUUCGGACAAUGCAUUGUUAUAGAGAGAAAUCAAUCAAAUCGAUUACAUUACUCACGUCCUCUAAAGGGCAGACCACCCAACUUUCUGUUUAUGGGAUAAUUGAUAUAGGGAAAAAAACUGUUUACAACAUGAGUAUUAAUAACGAUGUUUAUUAAAUAACAGGAGCAGGUUAUGAACAUAGAUUUAGCACCGACAUUCUUAGAGAUGGCUGGUCUUCCUUCAACCCCGGGGCAGAUGGACGGACUGUCUUUGGCCCCAUUCUUUUCCUCUGCCUCCAAUCAAACCUGGGGCCGGUCAACCAUUCUUGUUGAACACCAGGGAGAAUACCACGAGAAUACACCCGGAUGUCCGCAAUUCAGACGACAAAAUAUGGCGAACUGUAAUAAUCAUUGUGUUUGCGAAGAUUCUUGGAAUAAUACGUACUCCUGUGUGAUUAAGCGAGAGUCUGCAGUCUCACCAAGUCAGCCGGGCCGCCGUGUCAAAUAUUGCCUACUCAAAGACAACCAGAAUUUUCAAGAAAUGUACAAUUUAGAUAUGGAUCCAUAUGAAUUUAAGAAUCUGGCCGUCACUUUGCCAGAAGACAAAAAGAAAGUUUAUUUGAACUUAAUAGAACAUAUGGAAAUGUGUAGUGGAGAAUCGUGUCAUGUAUGAUGAGAGAGAGAGAGAGAGAGAGAGAGAGAGAUUUAUUUUGUCAAUAUAUACAAAUAUUUUAGAUUAUUUACAGUCUGUGCACUGUGCAAUAUUUUGUAUUUUUUAAUAAAGAAAUAAGAAAAAUUG